UACGUAGGGACCAAGCGUUGUUCGGAUUUACUGGGCGUAAAGGGCGCGUAGGCGGCGCUGUAAGUCACUUGUGAAAUCUCCGGGCUUAACUCGGAACGGUCAAGUGAUACUGCAGUGCUAGAGUGCAGAAAGGGCAAUCGGAAUUCUUGGUGUAGCGGUGAAAUGCGUAGAUAACAAGAGGAACACCUGAGGCGAAGGCGGGUUGCUAGGCUGACACUGACGCUGACAGCGCGAAAGCCAGGGGAGCAAACGGG
rnacentral:rRNA from 1 species